ensembl:snoRNA small nucleolar RNA SNORA26
AAGCCCCUUUCUUGCCCACCCUGGACCAAUAAUCGUCCUUGGUGCCCAACACAGGGGGGUAGAUGAUGUCUCUCAUAAACCUGUAGUGAAGGCGUGUCCACCUCACUGCGGAUCCUGUCGGGAGAAACAAUC